rnacentral:rRNA from 1 species
UCUCCUGGGAAACGGGUGGUAAUGCCGGAUGCUCCGACUCCUCGCAUGGGGUGUCGGGAAAGAUUUCAUCGGUAUGGGAUGGGGUCGCGUCCUAUCAGGUAGUCGGCGGGGUAACGGCCCACCGAGCCUACGACGGGUAGCCGGCCUGAGAGGGCGACCGGCCACAUUGGGACUGAGAUACGGCCCAGACUCCUACGGGAGGCAGCAGUGGGGAAUAUUGCACAAUGGGCGCAAGCCUGAUGCAGCGACGCCGCGUGCGGGAUGACGGCCUUCGGGUUGUAAACCGCUUUUGAUCGGGAGCAAGCCUUCGGGUGAGUGUACCUUUCGAAUAAGCACCGGCUAACUACGUGCCAGCAGCCGCGGUAAUACGUAGGGUGCAAGCGUUAUCCGGAAUUAUUGGGCGUAAAGGGCUCGUAGGCGGUUCGUCGCGUCCGGUGUGAAAGUCCAUCGCUUAACGGUGGAUCUGCGCCGGGUACGGGCGGGCUGGAGUGCGGUAGGGGAGACUGGAAUUCCCGGUGUAACGGUGGAAUGUGUAGAUAUCGGAAAAGAACACCACA